UACGUAGGUGGCAAGCGUUGUCCGGAAUCAUUGGGCGUAAAGAGCGUGUAGGCGGCCAGAAAAGUCCGCUGUGAAAACUCGAGGCUCAACUUCGAGCUGUCGGUGGAAACUUUCUGGCUAGAGUCCGGAAGAGGAGAAUGGAAUUCCUGGUGUAGCGGUGAAAUGCGCAGAUAUCAGGAAGAACACCCGUGGCGAAGGCGGUUCUCUGGGACGGUACUGACGCUGAGACGCGAAAGCGUGGGGAGCGAACAGG
rnacentral:rRNA from 1 species